AAGUCUCUUGAAGCAAAGUUCUGUGACACUCAGACUCUGAUUAUGAUAGAAGUCAGUGCACUACAGAACUUUGUCUCUGGGGGCUG
rnacentral:pre_miRNA from 14 species